ensembl:lncRNA novel transcript
CUCUUUGCUGAUGAAAGCUGACAUUUCACGGGAAGAACAGUCAAUCCCUGGGAAGAUGCUGGGACCAAAGGAGCCACAAACGUUUCCAAAAUCUGGAGAGCGGCUGUGAGUUUGCAGUGCAGUAUGGGGAGAGACCAGAACCCACCGGAAGCCUCCAGGUGCUGCAGUGAGGAGGAGCUGGAACCCUUCUCCUCCAGGUGCCAGCUCGCGCUGCUGUGGUUCUCAUCUGUAGAGGACGUGGACCAUCCAGGGAAUCACCUGCAGCUGACAGAGGAAACUCUGAAGCCCACCAGGCCUGUACAGACUGGGGAAACACCAGUGCCUGAGGAUAGUGGCUAAACUGCCAGAGAACAUGGGGCUGAGGUGGAGCCUGGAUGACUCUUCUGCCUCUGAGCAAAGCUGCUUGCCCUACACACAACAGUAUUGUCUUAACAUCUGCUGAGUUCCCAGGUCCUCUUAGCAGCAGGCAGAGGCAUUCAGAGCCCAGACCCCAAAGACAUGCUGAUCUGGUUUAAACCUGACUGUGCUACUCAUCAACUGGGGGACCUAGGCAGGUUACAUUGUCUUUUUGUGCCUCAGUUUCCUCAUCUAUAGAAUAGAGGUAUUCUAGUUUCCUGUGAUUUCUGUAAUAAAUUUACAAACUUUGUAACAAA